CCUACGGGAGGCAGCAGUGGGGAAUAUUGGGCAAUGGGCGCAAGCCUGAUCCAGCAACGCCGCGUGAAGGAAGAAGGCUUUCGGGUUGUAAACUUCUUUUAAGGGGGAAGAGCAGAAGACGGUACCCCUUGAAUAAGCCACGGCUAACUACGUGCCAGCAGCCGCGGUAAUACGUAGGUGGCAAGCGUUGUCCGGAUUUACUGGGUGUAAAGGGCGUGCAGCUGGAGAGACAAGUCAGAUGUGAAAUCCACGGGCUCAACCCGUGAACUGCAUUUGAAACUGUUUCCCUUGAGUGUCGGAGAGGUAAUCGGAAUUCCUUGUGUAGCGGUGAAAUGCGUAGAUAUAAGGAAGAACACCAGUGGCGAAGGCGGAUUACUGGACGAUAACUGACGGUGAGGCGCGAAAGCGUGGGGAGCAAACAGGAUUAGAUACCCCUGUAGUC
rnacentral:rRNA from 1 species